rnacentral:rRNA from 1 species
GGCGAACGCUGGCGGCGUGCUUAACACAUGCAAGUCGAACGGAAAGGCCCUGCUUUUGUGGGGUGCUCGAGUGGCGAACGGGUGAGUAACACGUGAGUAACCUGCCCUUGACUUUGGGAUAACUUCAGGAAACUGGGGCUAAUACCGGAUAGGAGCUCCUGCUGCAUGGUGGGGGUUGGAAAGUUUCGGCGGUUGGGGAUGGACUCGCGGCUUAUCAGCUUGUUGGUGGGGUAGUGGCUUAACAAGGCUUUGACGGGUAGCCGGCCUGACAGGGUGACCGGCGAGAAUGGGACUGAUUAAGGGCACUGAGUUCAGCGUGGGUACGCAGUGGCAUAUAUUGCGCUAUAGAAGGGAUGCUAUAGAAGCAACGCUGCGUGCGAGAUAAAGGCUUACGGAUUGUAUUCGGCUUUGGGCUAUGCCGGAGAGUGAGUGCCGGAAAUUGAUUAAGAAGAACAGGGUAAAUACGUG